rnacentral:rRNA from 1 species
AUGGCCGACGGAUCGGCAGAGGAAACAAUAAGUCAAACGCAAUCAAGCGACCACGCCACCGAACGGGGCCCAAAUCAAACGAGCCAUGCCAUCAAACAAGCCUACCAAAUCGGAUCGAGCAAUCAAACGAGCCAUGCCAUCAAUAGCCUACGAAAUCGAGCCGCAUCGGCCCGACGGCGCGGCGCCACAUUCCCUACCUCGCGGAUCAGGAGGCUAAUCGCAUCUGGGGAUUCCAGAACGGCCCAAACAAGCGGCACCAAUCAUUCAUCGGCUAGAAAUGAAGGGAGGACGAACCGGGUGGGGGAUCGCGGAGGGCGGCGUGGGCCGGUACCGCCGGCGGCUUCGGGGGAUGGGGUCGCCGGCGGCGGUGGAGGGAUCGCCCCCCGGCUUCGUCGCGCUGGCUCGCGGGCCUGUGGUCGCGCAAACGAAGCACGGCGACGUGAGGGGAACCAGGUGGCUUGGGGUGAUGCGGGGAUCCCGUGUUUAUUAUUAUUCUCCCAGUAG